rnacentral:rRNA from 1 species
AACGAUCGCUGGCGGCAUGCCUAACACAUGCAAGUCGAACGAAGGCUUCGGCCUUAGUGGCGCACGGGUGCGUAACGCGUGGGAAUCUGCCCUUUGGUUCGGAAUAACAGCUGGAAACGGCUGCUAAUACCGGAUGAUGACGAAAGUCCAAAGAUUUAUCGCCAGAGGAUGAGCCCGCGUUGGAUUAGGUAGUUGGUGGGGUAAAGGCCUACCAAGCCGACGAUCCAUAGCUGGUCUGAGAGGAUGAUCAGCCACACUGGGACUGAGACACGGCCCAGACUCCUACGGGAGGCAGCAGUGGGGAAUAUUGGACAAUGGGCGCAAGCCUGAUCCAGCAAUGCCGCGUGAGUGAUGAAGGCCCUAGGGUUGUAAAGCUCUUUUACCCGGGAAGAUAAUGACUGUACCGGGAGAAUAAGCCCCGGCUAACUCCGUG